rnacentral:rRNA from 36 species
CCCCAGGUCAGGCGGGGCUACCCGCUGAGUUUAAGCAUAUCAAUAAGCGGAGGAAAAGA